ACUGGGGAAGGAUCUUUUUCUGGAGAUCACUUCCUGGUGAAGCUUUCUCCUGUGAACCUAGAGUCUUCUGAUAAUAGAGAAGUGGCCUUCUGCAGAGUUGGUGCCCAGUUUACAUCAGUGCAUGUGAGAUGACAAUUAGAGCAGCUUUCUCUCUCUCAGACACAUAAAAGGAAUAACCUUACUGGAGAACUUGCCAAAAAUAUUAUUUCAGCUGAGAAGGCCUCAUUUACACCUGUGUGGACAGGAAGAAUCUAAUUUACAAGUAAAAGUCAAAUCAUUAUCUGCCCAUCUCUCCAUGCGGCGCACAUCUCAGUUCAGCAGUAGUUCUGAAAGCCAGAUAAAAGUGUACAGUGCUGCAGUAGAAUGAGAAAGGAAAAAAAGAUGUAGCAUCAGUUCACAAACCUGCAGAUCUUCAGCUUAUAAAAACAUGAUGGAAUGGUCUUUUAUUUUCUGUUUGUCUUCUUGGAAGAAAACACUUGCUACUCUACCUGAAACUCUUGAAAGAACAAAGGGCAUGGAAAAUACAUGGUCUCUGUGGUGCAAUCCUUGUUUCUCUUUUGAAUUAUUUUGUGUGAUAGAUGCUGAGGGUAAGUUCAUCGUGGUUCAGAAGUGUUACACAGAGAGUGGAUCUCGCUACUGCCAUGGGAAGUGGAACGCUGUAGAAGUGGUUUCUGAUCAUUUGUUGGUUUCAGCCCUGUUUUCAGAAACAACGUCUUUCGUGACUUCAACAGAUGAUGAUAAAGGUUUGAAGCCAGAAGGGUCAUAAAGGCUGCAAAGAGGGGUCAAUUUCCAUCCCCUGUGGUGAGUGAGCCUAUUAACUGUCUGUUUCAAGGUACUGAAAGAUUAAAUUUGGGAGAAAUCAAUAUAUGACUUCUGCAGAAUAUGUGAACUGAAGCAGCUAUGAGCAUCUCUUCUGCAUUACACAAAAUACACUCUUAAGCAUGAUACAGAAGACCUAUGUAAUUUGUCCUAAAGUCUGUGAGAUCCAAACACCACGUUUUGCAAACUGGCAGGUAUGCAAAAGAACAGGAUAAAGUGACAUGUUUAUUUUUAAUAUGUGCCAUGGGAAAAGACUACUUUUAAUUGCACAAUGCAAAAUAUUCUUGAGCAAUAUCUGGGAGUACCAUCUAGAGUAUCGAUUAAAAAUGAAUCACUGGGAUUUAUUUGUUUGGCUGUGGUUGUACAGGGCGAAAAAGCAGGCAUGGUGCUAGGGUAGGUGUGUGUCACUUGUCAAGCAUGGAGUCUUUGGGUAUGUGCACCACUGCUGACCAUCAGACCAUGCUGUGCCCAGGAUGAAUUGUGUGGGUAGGCUGCUCCAGGCAGCACAUCACUUCUGAGGCAUGGGCUCUACUGUGUGCAUCUGAGUGGGAGCCAACAGUGUGAACGUAGAAUAAUGAGAGGAAAUAUUUCUUUAAAAAAAAAAAAAAGAAAUCUGAGCUCUAUUCAGCCUGUCUGCUAUGGCACCUCUGGAAUUGCCUUGUCAUCCUCAGUGAUGAGGGUGCUUCUUAGGAAGUGGGAGACCUGCUUUCAGUGGCUCUGGCUGAAAUCACUUUUCUAACACCUACCAUAAGGGAAAUAAGGACAAAGUAAGGAUAUACUUUCCACUAUCCAAAUGAAACUAAAAUAUAAUAUAGAAAGAAAACGUUUCCUCUCACUGCCCUUAUGAAGCAUGUACAGUCACUGAAGAGAAGCAUUUACAGUACCUACAUUAAGUAGUUGAUAAGCAUCAUCCUCUCCCUGUUGUCUAUAUAAGAAGGUAGGGUCUGACAACCCAGGGAGCAGGCCAUCUCAAUCGCCAUUCAUCCCAUGUCAGAUGCUGCAGACAGAUAGUCUGAAUACAGCCCUGUAACUUUGAAAGGGAUGGCCCUGCACGGCUUCCUUGCACGCUCAGCUCCCUUCCUACACGUCUUUGUUCCUCUUUCCAUUUUGUCUUGUUGUCUUCAUUCUCUCAUAUCUCAUGUGGUGAGCUGGUGCCAGCGUAAUUAGCUAGGAAAGAUCUUUUAGUUAAAGAGAUGAGCAAAAGCUGCUUCUGGCAGAAAUCUUUGAUUUGGGGAAACCUCUUUCCCGUUCUCCAGGAAUUUUGCUGUCAGCUAGUUUAGCAGCGGCUUCUAUGCUUUUCUGUAUCAUAGACAGCCUUGCAUUGCUGAUCUGGAUUAUAAGUUUGAGCACAUAAAAUACCAGCUGAGGUUACAGAGACAUGGUGCGAAGAGUUCACAUCCAUUUUUGUUGCUCAAAACCAGACUGCUGUACGCAUUAGCACUUGGUGUUUGCCCCUGGUCUCAAAUG
ensembl:lncRNA